CCAACAAAGUUGAAGGAAUUAGAGUUAAUUUUGAUGCUACUGGAAGAAUCGAUAAAUUUAACGUCUUCACCUUGCAACAUUAUGCAGUUAAUUUUUGCUGUAACAAUGAGGAGGCAAUCGGAAGUUAAUUUGGAAGCAACUGAAACAACAGUCUGAAGUUGUAUUUUGGUUUGCUCAUCACGCUGGUAGACUUUAAAACGUUACUUUCUACAAUUAAUUAAGAUUAUCCAACAAAUGAGAGAGGAUUAAACAUCAAUUUGGUCAUACUGAAACAGUGGAUGUCUGCAUGGGUGUUGCUUUUCGUGGACUGUAUUCUUCAUUGGCUGUUUUCGUCUUCGUCUUACAACAUUAUGCAGUUAAUUUUCAACCCAUGACUGAGAGCAACUGGAUAUUUAUUUGAAUUCCACUGAAAAAACAAAUUUUCUGCUGUGGUAUUCCUCCUGGAGUUGGUUUGCUUUUCACAUCUGCAAACUUUGGAACAUUACGGUCUACAGUUAAUUAAGAUCGACGUUGGAGAAGACAAAGAUGA